rnacentral:rRNA from 1 species
UACGGAGGAUGCGAGCGUUAUCCGGAUUUAUUGGGUUUAAAGGGUGCGCAGGCGGAUUUUUAAGUCAGCGGUCAAAUCGUGGGGCUCAACCCCAUCCAGCCGUUGAAACUGGGGAUCUAGAGUGUGCGAGAGGUAUGCGGAAUGCGUGGUGUAGCGGUGAAAUGCAUAGAUGUCACGCAGAACCCCGAUUGCGAAGGCAGCAUACCGGUGCACAACUGACGCUCAGGCACGAAAGCGUGGGUAUCGAACAGG